CCUACGGGUGGCAGCAGUGGGGAAUAUUGGACAAUGGGCGAAAGCCUGAUCCAGCCAUGCCGCGUGUGUGAAGAAGGCCUUCGGGUUGUAAAGCACUUUCAGUGGGGAAGAAAGCCUUGGGGCUAAUACCCUCGAGGAAGGACAUCACCCACAGAAGAAGCACCGGCUAACUCCGUGCCAGCAGCCGCGGUAAUACGGAGGGUGCGAGCGUUAAUCGGAAUUACUGGGCGUAAAGCGCGCGUAGGCGGUCUGAUAAGCCGGUUGUGAAAGCCCCGGGCUCAACCUGGGAACGGCAUCCGGAACUGUCAGGCUAGAGUGCAGGAGAGGAAGGUAGAAUUCCCGGUGUAGCAGUGAAAUGCGUAGAGAUCGGGAGGAAUACCAGUGGCGAAGGCGGCCUUCUGGACUGACACUGACGCUGGGGUGCGAAAGCGUGGGUAGCAAACAGGAUUAGAUACCCUAGUAGUC
rnacentral:rRNA from 1 species